rnacentral:rRNA from 1 species
CGUGCAGGCGGCCACCGCAAGUUGAAUGUGAAAUCCCCGGGCUUAACCCGGGAAGUGCGUUCAAGACUGCGGGGCUUGAAUACGGGAGAGGAUCGUGGAAUUCCUGGUGUAGAGGUGAAAUUCGUAGAUAUCUGGAGGAACAUCAGUGGCGAAGGCGGCCACCUGGACCGAUACUGACGCUGAGGUGCGAAAGCGUGAGGAGCCAACA